AGGGGUUGUUGCGCGGGCGCAGAGUACCGCGCCGCGGCUCUCUGGAGGGGUAGGGGCGUUCUGAGGUCGCAGCUGGCAUCUCAGGAUUCUGCCCUUUUCAGGGAGAGACAUUUAGACAAAGAGGAAUGGCUGCUUCAGCCCUGACAGAGCAUCAAGGUAAUACAUGCAAAGCACCCAGAACAGAAAGUGUUGUUUCGAUCAUCGUUACCAGGGACCAUUUGGAGGAGUGGAUGUUGGAGACAUUGCAACAGAAUCUCCCACACCUUUAAGAACCAGUAAUGCUCAUAUAAAGCUCUGCAUCCACAGGACUCUGCUCUUCAAGAGAGGGGCUCUGCGAAGGGGAGGAUAACCACUGGACUUCUAGAAGGCACAUCACUGCGAUCAGUAACAUUCCAAGAUGUGGCCAUCGACUUCUCCCAAGAAGAAUGGGGAUUCCUGAACCCUGCUCAGAGAAAACUGUCCAUGGCUGUGAUGUCGGAAAAUUAUCAGAACCUGGCCUGGCUAGAGAGUGAGUCAAUAUGGGAGAGCAAGGAAUUAUCUCCAAGGAAGAGUAUAAAAGAGGGAACAUUCCAACAUGAAAUAGUGAUGAAAAGAGCAAGCAGCAUAUGUAGAGAAUAUGCGAAAACUUCCUGCAGCAAUAACGCGCCUUUUCAUCCAUCAGAAAAGUCUUAAGGAGGAGCGUGGCCAGUGCCAUGAGUGUGGGAAAUCCUUUAGUCGUCGAUCAACUCUUGUUCAACAUCAGAAUCCACACAGGAGACAGACCCUGUAAGUGUAAUGAAUGUUGUAAAGCUUUCAAUCAGAGGGCACAUCUUAACCAGCAUGAGAGAAUUCACACAGGUGAGAGACCGUAUGAAUGUAAGGGAUGUAGGAAAACCUUCAGCCAGAUGACUCAUCUCACUCAGCAUCACAGUACACAUACUCGAGAAAAGUCCCAUGAGUGCAGCGAAGGUGGAAAGGCCUUUAGCCAUUCCUCAGCUCUGACUGAUCACCAGAGAAUUCAUAGUGGGGAAUAACCCUACAAAUAUAAGGACUGUGGCAGGGCCUUCACUCAAAGUGCACAGCUCAUUAGACAUCAGAAAAUUCACUCCAGAGAAAAACCCUACGAAUGUAGUAAGUGUAAGAAGUCCUUUAUACGUCUCUCUUCCCUGAUUGAGCAUCAGAGGGUUCACACUGGAGAAAAACCGUAUCAGUGUAUGGACUGCAAAAAUACCUUUUGCCGUAUCAUGCAACUUACCCUACACAGGAGAAUUCACACUGGGGAGAAAUCCUAUGAAU